UACGUAGGGUGCAAGCGUUGUCCGGAAUUAUUGGGCGUAAAGAGCUCGUAGGCGGUUUGUCGCGUCUGCUGUGAAAACCCGAGGCUCAACCUCGGGCCUGCAGUGGGUACGGGCAGACUAGAGUGCGGUAGGGGAGAUUGGAAUUCCUGGUGUAGCGGUGGAAUGCGCAGAUAUCAGGAGGAACACCGAUGGCGAAGGCAGGUCUCUGGGCCGAUACUGACGCUGAGGAGCGAAGGCGUGGGGAGCGAACAGG
rnacentral:rRNA from 1 species